rnacentral:rRNA from 1 species
CCAGUAACGGCGAGUGAAGCGGCAACAGCUCAAAUUUGAAAUCUGGCUCCUUUGGGGUCCGAGUUGUAAUUUGCAGAGGGUGCUUUUGGUGUCGGCCGUGGUCUAAGUUCCUUGGAACAGGACGUCACAGAGGGUGAGAAUCCCGUACGUGGCCGCCGGCCUUCGCCUUGUAAAGCCCCUUCGACGAGUCGAGUUGUUUGGGAAUGCAGCUCUAAAUGGGAGGUAAAUUUCUUCUAAAGCUAAAUACCCGCCAGAGACCGAUAGCGCACAAGUAGAGUGAUCGAAAGAUGAAAAGCACUUUGGAAAGAGAGUGAAAAAGCACGUGAAAUUGUUGAAAGGGAAGCGCUUGCGGCCAGACGUGCUCGCGGUUGUUCAUCUGGGCUCUCGCCCGGUGCACUCUUCCGCGAGCAGGCCAGCAUCAGUUCGGGGCGGCUGGAUAAAGGUUCCUGUCAUGUACCACCCCUCGGGGCGGCCUUAUAGGGGGAACGCAACACAGCCAGCCUGGACUGAGGUUCCGCGCAUCUGCUAGGAUGCUGGCGUAAUGGCAGCAAGCGGCCCGUCUUGAAACACGGACCAAGGAGUCUAACAUCUAUGCGAGUGUUUGGGUGUCAAGCCCGAGCGCGUAAUGAAAGUGAACGGAGGUGGGAACCCCUCGGGGCGCACCAUCGACCGAUCCUGAUGUCUUCGGAUGGAUUUGAGUAAGAGCAUAGCUGUUGGGACCCGAAAGAUGGUGAACUAUGCCUGAAUAGGGUGAAGCCAGAGGAAACUCUGGUGGAGGCUCGCAGCGGUUCUGACGUGCAAAUCGAUCGUCAAAUUUGGGCAUAGGGGCGAAAGAC